rnacentral:rRNA from 1 species
GGUUAAGCGACUAAGCGUACACGGUGGAUGCCCUGGCAGUCAGAGGCGAUGAAGGACGUGCUAAUCUGCGAUAAGCGUCGGUAAGGUGAUAUGAACCGUUAUAACCGGCGAUUUCCGAAUGGGGAAACCCAGUGUGUUUCGACACACUAUCAUUAACUGAAUCCAUAGGUUAAUGAGGCGAACCGGGGGAACUGAAACAUCUAAGUACCCCGAGGAAAAGAAAUCAACCGAGAUUCCCCCAGUAGCGGCGAGCGAACGGGGAGCAGCCCAGAGCCUGAAUCAGUAUGUGUGUUAGUGGAAGCGUCUGGAAAGGCGCGCGAUACAGGGUGACAGCCCCGUACACAAAAAUGCACAUGCUGUGAGCUCGAUGAGUAGGGCGGGACACGUGGUAUCCUGUCUGAAUAUGGGGGGACCAUCCUCCAAGGCUAAAUACUCCUGACUGACCGAUAGUGAACCAGUACCGUGAGGGAAAGGCGAAAAGAACCCCGGCGAGGGGAGUGAAAAAGAACCUGAAACCGUGUACGUACAAGCAGUGGGAGCACGCUUAGGCGUGUGACUGCGUACCUUUUGUAUAAUGGGUCAGCGACUUAUAUUCUGUAGCAAGGUUAACCGAAUAGGGGAGCCGAAGGGAAACCGAGUCUUAACUGGGCGUUAAGUUGCAGGGUAUAGACCCGAAACCCGGUGAUCUAGCCAUGGGCAGGUUGAAGGUUGGGUAACACUAACUGGAGGACCGAACCGACUAAUGUUGAAAAAUUAGCGGAUGACUUGUGGCUGGGGGUGAAAGGCCAAUCAAACCGGGAGAUAGCUGGUUCUCCCCGAAAGCUAUUUAGGUAGCGCCUCGUGAAUUCAUCUCCGGGGGUAGAGCACUGUUUCGGCAAGGGGGUCAUCCCGACUUACCAACCCGAUGCAAACUGCGAAUACCGGAGAAUGUUAUCACGGGAGACACACGGCGGGUGCUAACGUCCGUCGUGAAGAGGGAAACAACCCAGACCGCCAGCUAAGGUCCCAAAGUCAUGGUUAAGUGGGAAACGAUGUGGGAAGGCCCAGACAGCCAGGAUGUUGGCUUAGAAGCAGCCAUCAUUUAAAGAAAGCGUAAUAGCUCACUGGUCGAGUCGGCCUGCGCGGAAGAUGUAACGGGGCUAAACCAUGCACCGAAGCUGCGGCAGCGACGCUGAUGCGUUGUUGGGUAGGGGAGCGUUCUGUAAGCCUGCGAAGGUGUGCUGUGAGGCAUGCUGGAGGUAUCAGAAGUGCGAAUGCUGACAUAAGUAACGAUAAAGCGGGUGAAAAGCCCGCUCGCCGGAAGACCAAGGGUUCCUGUCCAACGUUAAUCGGGGCAGGGUGAGUCGACCCCUAAGGCGAGGCCGAAAGGCGUAGUCGAUGGGAAACAGGUUAAUAUUCCUGUACUUGGUGUUACUGCGAAGGGGGGACGGAGAAGGCUAUGUUGGCCGGGCGACGGUUGUCCCGGUUUAAGCGUGUAGGCUGGUUUUCCAGGCAAAUCCGGAAAAUCAAGGCUGAGGCGUGAUGACGAGGCACUACGGUGCUGAAGCAACAAAUGCCCUGCUUCCAGGAAAAGCCUCUAAGCAUCAGGUAACAUCAAAUCGUACCCCAAACCGACACAGGUGGUCAGGUAGAGAAUACCAAGGCGCUUGAGAGAACUCGGGUGAAGGAACUAGGCAAAAUGGUGCCGUAACUUCGGGAGAAGGCACGCUGAUAUGUAGGUGAAGUCCCUCGCGGAUGGAGCUGAAAUCAGUCGAAGAUACCAGCUGGCUGCAACUGUUUAUUAAAAACACAGCACUGUGCAAACACGAAAGUGGACGUAUACGGUGUGACGCCUGCCCGGUGCCGGAAGGUUAAUUGAUGGGGUUAGCGCAAGCGAAGCUCUUGAUCGAAGCCCCGGUAAACGGCGGCCGUAACUAUAACGGUCCUAAGGUAGCGAAAUUCCUUGUCGGGUAAGUUCCGACCUGCACGAAUGGCGUAAUGAUGGCCAGGCUGUCUCCACCCGAGACUCAGUGAAAUUGAACUCGCUGUGAAGAUGCAGUGUACCCGCGGCAAGACGGAAAGACCCCGUGAACCUUUACUAUAGCUUGACACUGAACAUUGAGCCUUGAUGUGUAGGAUAGGUGGGAGGCUUUGAAGUGUGGACGCCAGUCUGCAUGGAGCCGACCUUGAAAUACCACCCUUUAAUGUUUGAUGUUCUAACGUUGACCCGUGAUCCGGGUUGCGGACAGUGUCUGGUGGGUAGUUUGACUGGGGCGGUCUCCUCCUAAAGAGUAACGGAGGAGCACGAAGGUUGGCUAAUCCUGGUCGGACAUCAGGAGGUUAGUGCAAUGGCAUAAGCCAGCUUGACUGCGAGCGUGACGGCGCGAGCAGGUGCGAAAGCAGGUCAUAGUGAUCCGGUGGUUCUGAAUGGAAGGGCCAUCGCUCAACGGAUAAAAGGUACUCCGGGGAUAACAGGCUGAUACCGCCCAAGAGUUCAUAUCGACGGCGGUGUUUGGCACCUCGAUGUCGGCUCAUCACAUCCUGGGGCUGAAGUAGGUCCCAAGGGUAUGGCUGUUCGCCAUUUAAAGUGGUACGCGAGCUGGGUUUAGAACGUCGUGAGACAGUUCGGUCCCUAUCUGCCGUGGGCGCUGGAGAACUGAGGGGGGCUGCUCCUAGUACGAGAGGACCGGAGUGGACGCAUCACUGGUGUUCGGGUUGUCAUGCCAAUGGCACUGCCCGGUAGCUAAAUGCGGAAGAGAUAAGUGCUGAAAGCAUCUAAGCACGAAACUUGCCCCGAGAUGAGUUCUCCCUGACUCCUUGAGAGUCCUGAAGGAACGUUGAAGACGACGACGUUGAUAGGCCGGGUGUGUAAGCGCAGCGAUGCGUUGAGCUAACCGGUACUAAUGAACCGUGAGGCUUAACCUU